rnacentral:rRNA from 1 species
GAAGGGGCUUGCUCUUUCAUAGUGGCGCACGGGUGAGUAACGCGUAGAUAAUCUGCCUGACGAUCUGGGAUAACACUUCGAAAGAGGUGCUAAUACCGGAUAAGCCCACGGGGUCUUUGGACUCUGCGGGAAAAGGGGGGGACCUUUUGGCCUUCUGUCGUCAGAUGAGUCUGCGUACCAUUAGCUAGUUGGUAGGGUAAUGGCCUACCAAGGCUACGAUGGUUAGCUGGUCUGAGAGGAUGAUMAGCCACACUGGAACUGAGACACGGUCCAGACUCCUACGGGAGGCAGCAGUGGGGAAUUUUGYGCAAUGGGGGAAACCCUGACGCAGCAACGCCGCGUGAGUGAUGAAGGCUUUCGGGUCGUAAAGCUCUGUCAGAGGGGAAGAAAUGAAACGUGCUAAUAUCACGUUUUCUUGACGGUACCCUCAAAGGAAGCACCGGCUAACUCCGUGCCAGCAGCCGCGGUAAUAC